ACAGUUGACCAGUGUCAUUGCAGUGGAUUGAUGAAUGGACAAAAAAGUUAGAGAUUUUGAGUGUUGUGAUGACUUUUGAAAAUCUCACUGAGAAAUAAAAGCAGCAAGUUGAAUAUAUUGAUCAAUAGUUCGCAACGUUUCUAUGAAAGAAAGAUUACGAGUAAUUUCCUAGAUAGAAACUAAUGAGUGUUAAAUUGGUUCUGAAAAAGUGGCAACAUUUUUUUUUAUAUGAUGGAAGUAGAUCUGAUGACUUAUGGUGAUGAAAAAACCGAAAUGAAAUUUCAGAAAGAAAAUGUCUACAAUAAACUGCUGCCAUAUGGAGACGAACUGGAGGAGGAAUCUUCUAAGCUAUAUUCUGAUAUUAAAACUAACCUAGUUAAAUCUGUUCUGGCUAGAGAAAUGCGACCUGGAUGUGCCUUAUGGACAUCUAGAUUAAUCAAGUAUAUAAAAAUAUAUGGGAUGAAGUUUUCUAAAGAGGAUCAUAUUGCUUUGAUAAAAUUAUUCUAUGAGCUAGUUAUUAUCCCAGACUUGGAGCCUACAAGAGUCAAUAAGUGUGCAAGCACCCUUAUUCAGCUACUGAA